rnacentral:lncRNA from 1 species
UGGGGAGAUACAGCGCUUCACCAGUCAUAGUGUGAAAACUUCCAUUUGGAAAUCUGGGAGCAGUUCUUAAGUCAAAAAACAGACCUGGAAUCACAGUAUCCAUACAUACCAGUUGGAGGACAAAAGACAUUGCCCCAGAGACCAGAGGCACCAAAAUACACUACACCUAGCUACCUGAGAAUGCCUCUAGCUGGCAACUCCAGCAAAGGCCCUUUUCCCCAUCCUUGACCAUCUUGAGUGAAAGCAAAGAACUGAAAGAUUGAAAAAUCUGAGACUGAGCGUUCCUUCCUGGAGAGACUCGUACCAUAUCAACCAGAUUGGAUAUGUAUUUAUUUUUCUUUUCUGCCAUUCAGCAUGUGGCAAAGACCCAUUUAGUUAUAAACAAAAUAAAAGAGGUUGUAUUUAUAAAAUUUUGCACAUCUAAGUUGUAGUAUGUAUUAAGUUUGUAUCCUUGUUAUAUGUGAUUCCCUGCUGUGGCCCAGCAGAUAAUAUAAACACUGUAUUUUAUAGACCCCAAAUUUAAUACUGGAAUCUUAAGCAAACAAAGUCUUUCUCACACAUUUUAUCGUAUUUGUCACUAAAAGUCCUUUGUCUCCAGAACAUCAAUCUGGGUACUGUUCCUAAGAACCCAAUUGGUACAACUUUUUGGAGUUAAUAAAAUUGUAUUCCCACUGGUUUCCAUUGCUGUUUUGUGCACAAUUCCCCACUGAGUAUUUGAUGAAUUUCUACUCCUUGGGGGCCCCAUUUUUUGUGUGAGUUUGCUGAGGAUCCAUGCGUCUUGUCACAGGGAGGAAGAUGAUUUCCUCUGAUAACAUUCCCCUGGUACCUGAGGAGCUUAUCACAGCCCUUUAUUUGGCUGUUUCUGUUAUGUUGGCAUGCGUCCAGAGCAAUGGGAAAGAAAAGGUUGUGCUUUUACAGGGAACAUUUUAUUCCCUCUUGGGAAAAGUGAACAUGACUCAAUGUCAGGAAGGGAAAUUUUUCAUUCAGAUAAAGAGAAUGAACAUCCGCCUACCUCUUUUAAUAGUUAAAACACAUUUACGGUCCGUUUGCAUUUUGUUUUCUUGAAGAGCUCAAAUUAUUUUAGAAAAUCUGAUUUAUUGAAACCAGACCUGCACCAGCUUGUUUUGUGUGUGAAGAGGGA